UACGAAGGGGGCUAGCGUUGUUCGGAAUCACUGGGCGUAAAGCGCACGUAGGCGGAUCUUUAAGUCAGGGGUGAAAUCCCAGAGCUCAACUCUGGGACUGCCUUUGAUACUGAAGAUCUUGAGUCCGGGAGAGGUGAGUGGAACUGCGAGUGUAGAGGUGAAAUUCGUAGAUAUUCGCAAGAACACCAGUGGCGAAGGCGGCUCACUGGCCCGGUACUGACGCUGAGGCACGAAAGCGUGGGGAGCAAACAGG
rnacentral:rRNA from 1 species